ensembl:lncRNA
GUCUGUGUAUGUUUUUGCUCCCCAUGUCUUCUCCUUGACCCAAUUGCUACUUCAUGUGCCCUUAUUUGGUCGUUCAUGUUCUUGUCUCGUCUCUUAAUUAGUCAUUCUGUUCACCUGUGUUCCUCCCAAUUCAUUUGUUAUCCGGUGUAUUUAAGCCCCAGUCUGUUCAGUCUGUGUUUGUUGGGUCUACCAGUUGUGUGUCUUCCUUCCCUUCCAAGUGUGGCUUAACCCGUUAUGUUGAAUUUAAUAAAUUACAUUUUCAUUUAUCCACGGCUCCUUCGUUCCCUCCAGCAGCAUAUCGUGACAGAAGACCAACCUUCAAAAGUAACGUUAUUUGCAUUUUCAGCUUUGUAUGUUUUCUACUGUACAGUGUUUGUUUUCUUAUUUUCCCCAUGUUCUAUGGAUCCCCUCGCCUGCAAAGACCUUUCCCUAUUGGAGUAUGCAGUUGAGUUCAGCCAGCUUGCCAUUUUAACGGCAUUCGAUGCUGCGAUUGAACUCACUGUUCUGGAUUGGGACUACUACUAUUGUCCCGUCGACAUCCCAGUUACCGCUGGACUGAGCUGGAGGGAAGCCAUUAUCCGGUGUCUGGAGAGUGUCUAUCCCCGAUCACAAGCACAGCCAGACCCAGAGCCCAGCCCACCGUCUCCCUGCUGCACGGAGCACAAACCGGAGCCCACUGCUGAUAGAAAGCAAGAGCCCGUCGCGACCAACGAGCCAUCGCCAAGGAGUGUGACAGAGCUGAGGAGGAGCUCCGCCCCCUGCACCGUGGCUGAGGGUGAGCUAAUUACGGAUCUGGGACUGUGCAAUUCCAAAGCAGAAAGGGCUCCUGUUCCUGAGUUAAGCCCAGUGGCUCACAAAUGCCCGUACUCCUGCCUCCUCCACUGUUGUCUGGCAGCCCCUCUGUUUACCCUCAGCACACCAUCUGUACUGUGCGAGCUCCGCAGGUCUGCCAUCCUCCAUUGUCACCGUGGCUGGAGGAUCCCUGGUCUCCACCUCCAGCCUCGAUCCCAGAUUCUGUUUCCCCACCUCUUCCGCCUCAGUCGGUUGGCCCCCUGGAGUUGUCAGCCCUUCCUCCAUGGCUCCUCCCUCUGUCGGCUCCACUGUGGGUUGUCAUUAUGGCUGUGGCCUGAGUCCCACCUGGCACCCCAUGCUCCAAAUUCCUCCUGUCGUCUCCCUGGCUCCUCCCUCCUUAUCUGCCCUGGCUCUUCCUGUUUCCUGAUUGGCUCCUCCCUCCGUCGUCACCUCCCUGGACUCUUUCUGCCCAGCCCCCUCCCAGGUGUCCAUCCUCCUCCUGAUCCUUCCCCAGUUCCCACCCGUUCCCUCUCUCUGGUUUUACGGCACGAGGGCGCACCUCCCGGGAGGGGGGCAAUGUGUCAGGACCUGUCUGUGUGUCUUUGCUCCCCAUGUUCUCUCCUUGACCCAGUUUCUCCCUCAUGUGCCCUUAUUUGGUUGUUCCUGUCCUCAUUGUCUCAAUUAUUCAUUCUGUUCACCUGUGUUCCUCCCAAUUCCCUUGUUAUCCGGUGUAUUUAAGCCCCAGUCUGUUAAGUCUGUGUUGGUCGGGUCUUGUGUGUGUGUGUGUGUGUGUGUGUGUCUUCCUUCCCUUCCCUUCCCUUCCAAGUGUGGAUUUACCCUGUGUUGGAUUUAAUAAAUGACAGUUUUGUUUAUCCACGGCUCCUUCGUUUCUUCCGGCAGCGUCUCGUGAUAUAUUAUGGCACACUUAGUCAUCCAUAAGUAGAUGGUCCUUAGACUAGUGACAUA